UAUUUAUUUGAAAAGAUAUCCUGUCCAUUCGAAGGUUUGUAAUUAUUUUAAAUCCUGUAGGAAAGAUUUUAUGCGGGGGAAAUAUUAUAGCAUUAAAUUUAUUUUUUGCAUUUUCACAGUGAAACGAAAGUUUUUCCUUUGUCUGGUAAGUGGAAGGUGAAAGGCAUAUAUUUCCCAGAAGUCAAUACGCCUUCACGUUCCUUCUUGCAAGAUAAACAGUGAAUCAUGAUUGAGUAGAAGCUUUCAAAAACCUCGAUAUUUUACAAAUAUUUGAGCAAACAAACUACUUUUGGGAAAGAUUUAACUAAUCUGAAAGUCAUGGCUGUUGUAUUAUUGGAUAACCUGCCGCUUCCGUCCCUAAAAUCAUACACAAUCGGCAGUUUAUUGCUCUUUGUGCUAGCUACAAUUUAUGGCUACAACUUCAACAGUGAAAUUUCGGACAAUAACGAACAGAAUUUAUGGCAGAUAAUAACUUCUUGCAUGGCAAAAGACCCGUUUUGCACUUGGGUAAGUUGUGAUGUGCUUGAUCUUUUUUAUAUUUGAUUUUUAGGAUUUAUAAUUUGAUUUGUAGGAGUCUAAUGCUCAAAUUUCAUAGUCUUCUGUGUGCUAAGAUUUUGUUAUGACUUCGCAAAUUUAGACUACAGUGAAUAUGGUCUAUUGUGGCUUUUUCCUGAUCGGCAAGAUAAUUCAAAGAUUUGUCUUUGGUGAUUUAAGACCCAUUGAACUGCAG